UACGAAGGGGGCUAGCGUUGUUCGGAAUUACUGGGCGUAAAGCGUGCGCAGGCGGCUUCUCAAGUCAGGGGUGAAAGCCCAGAGCUCAACUCUGGAAUUGCCUUUGAGACUGAGUGGCUUGAGUACGAGAGAGGUGAGUGGAAUUCCCAGUGUAGAGGUGAAAUUCGUAGAUAUUGGGAAGAACACCGGUGGCGAAGGCGACUUACUGGAUCAUGACUGAACGCUGGAGGCUCGAAAAGCCGUGGGGGAGCAAACAGG
rnacentral:rRNA from 1 species